UUAAAAUCUCCGGCUAUAGCUUCUACUAUAGCCGGAGAUAGCCGCUGGGGAGGGGAGCAGCUAGGAUAGUUCAAAUUUAACGCUAUGAUUUAGCUGCCGCUAAUAGCUGUGCUUAGCCGGAGAUAGCCGCUAAAUUAGGCCUUCAUUUAGCGGCAGCUAGAAAAUUUGACAGGCCAAAUUGGAGUUGUCGCGCGGGCUCAUGGACGCCCGCGGCCCGCCUGAAUUUCAGCCCAAAUGUUUCAGCUUUCAGCACAUAUAUAACAGGAAGGCAAACCCUAGCUCGUUCAUUUCCUCACUCCAGCUCACAGCCGCUCCUUUCCCCUAAAAAGAAGGCGGCGGCGGCGGCCGGCAGCCGUUGUGCUGCGCCCGGAGCCCCGGAGGUGAGCAGGAGCCGAGGACCGACGACUACCAUCCUCUCCAUUCCCCAUCCUCUCCAUUCCUCAUCCUCUCCCACAAUCGACAGAACCCGAAGCAGCAGCACGAAGCUCUGUGUGUAGGCGCCAUGUCCCAUCCAGAGCCAGGCAAGUAGAACCUUAACUCUGAUUCUGAUGAGUAGAAAUUCAAUAGAGAGUAGACAGUGGAGACUGGAUUUUGUUGUGUUAAGUCUCCUGACGACUGGAUUCUGAUGAGUAGAAAUUCAGUAGAGAGUAGACAGUGGAGACUGGAUUCAGUAGAGAGUAGAGAGUAGACAAUGGAGACAAAGGUGUUUAUUUCUAAAUUUUUCCAAAACAGCUAAAUGACUUAGCUGCAGCUAUAGCCAGCUUUAGCUUUCCUUAGCUGCUGCAAAGGCCGGCAGCUAAGAGGCUUAGCCGGAGAUUUUAAACAUUGACUAGAAGACAGAAGAAUCGAAAGGCCCAUCAGGCGUCACCGCUCGCCAACCAAAAGUGAACCUCAAGUAGCCCUAGUGUGGAAGAAGAGUUCAUCAGUUCCAAGCUUCCAGCAUGUUAAAAUCAUCCACUUGAAUACAAAUUAUGGCCUUACAGGACGCUUAAACUGGAGCCUUGUUUCGCCGCAACGAGCAGUUGGUACAACAAGUCAACAACGCCUCGACGUCUUUGUUUUUGCAGCAGCGUACCGAGAUAGGCUACCGUUAUUUGAUAUGAGGAACUACGGGAGUACUGCAGUCAGCAUACUGUUUUUCUCUCUCUCGAAAAGAUGCAGUCUGCAGACUGUUGCUUGCAAUAAUCUGCUCAGCCCAAGCGCAAGUGCUGUGUUCGAAAUGAACUGUGAACGGAACAAUAAUCCUACGACGAAGCUCCAGAUGGGUUCAAGGUGAAGGUAGGAAGGAAGAGCACACGAAAGCGUCAGGUGACAAAAGAAAACUCAACUCUGGAAGACGUCUUCUCAGUUCGGCCUUCUUUAUAAGUUGAAGCAUGUGUUCUCUCGUAAUUUUUAUUUCCUAAGUUGAAGCAUGUUAUUCUCUCUGUAGAGAAAAAAAGUUGAAGCAGUGUAUAACCAGCCAUGUUCAGGGAAAAAAAACACAUAAAGCUUCUGUGA